rnacentral:lncRNA from 1 species
CCCAGGCAUUUCUAAUGCAGUCCUGCCACUCACCUGCCGUCUCACUCCGAGGAGAGUGAUCCUCGCCACAUAAAUCUUCCCCAGAGGCCGAGGGGGUCUAUAUUUCAGAGUCACUUCCCUUCUGUGUCAGCUGGGCUGUUGUUGCACAAACCUUCUUUCAAAGGAAUAAUAGAGACGCCACUUCUGAGUGCCUACGAUGAAGGCUGCAGAACCUACCGGGUAUUCCCUUUUAGUAUACAAAGAAGUGAACUGGGAGCCCUACGGAAGAGAAGAUCCCCCUAGCUGGGAUGGGGACUCUUGUCCCUAAUGAUUGUAACCCUGUUGUGUCUUUUUAUACAUGAUGGUUCCAAGCACCAUCAUAAAGAUCUUGAGCUACUAAAAUAUACACAAAGACCAUGAUGAGAGAUGAGCUGAUGUUCCUUUUAUGAUAACUGGAUACGAAGACGGUGUUCCACGGUCCACUUUAUGCUUUGAAUAUAGCCCUUGCUGCUCUACCACAGCAACUUGCUUUUAAAAUGGACAUGUUUCUUGCUCUUCCUCUCUCCCUGCUCCUCCUCCCUAAUCUCUCCCCCUCCCUAAUCUCAGUUUCUGGAAAACUGAUUUACCUGUCCAUCCCCAUUUUAGGCAGAUUUAUCUGUCCUUAAGUAUACACCCAACAUAAGAAUGACAUAAUCCAGGCUUUGGGGAUGGUACCAGAAGAUCUCAGAAAUGACUAUCUACCAAAUGAAGUGAAUCACAGCUCCUUCAGAGAACACGUGGAAUGUAGACUUUGAAUCACCUCUUUAAAAGCCCCCUGUUCCUGCGGAUGGGCAGAAUCACAGCCUUUGUGACAGGAGUCCCCUUUGUUUCUCUUUUGCUAGCAAAGCAAUAAACCUUUUUCCUUUUUCUGUGUCUUUAUUAUUGGAUUGGCAUGGGGACAAAGACAGAGCUUUCAGCACCGAUGGAACAAAAAGUAUGAAUGUUAUCUGAAGACCUGGUUCUUAUAUAUUAACCAUACAAAUAAAGCUUUCACUACCCAAAUGCUAGUGGAACCUCAGGCUCAAGCAAACUGUUGGAUCAUGAACCUGGUAAAUGUACAGAAUAUUGAUUGAGUUGAAUCCAAAAUCUCAAAUACAUGGUAACUUCAGUUCAUGUGAAGUCUGCUUGCUUCCCUCAGGGUCAGAAAAGGCCAGCUACUUAUUUGGAAUUCCGUAGAAGCCAGAUCUAGCCUGUUACUUCUUGAAGGACAGAAACCUUACAGCAUUUGGGCCAUUAUUAUUGAAAAUCCACCCAGGGAGAAGGUAGUUUUAAACACAAUUAGGAUUCUAUUUUAAGGAAAAAUCAUAAACUGCCCAUUUAAUGCUAAUGUUUGAUCUACUGUGAAGCAGAGAAGGAGAAGCUAUUACAAAUUUGCUAAUACCAUCAAAACUCACAAAGUGAUAAAAUGAGGCUACAAGAAGAAAAGGCACUCAUCCCAAGCACUGGCUGUGCUAAUAUUCACGAGAGCUGAGAAUUAUUCUGAGGCUCAGUGAGGGACAUUGGCCUGUUCUAUCUGCACUCUGCAACAUGACCCUUGGAUGCUCUUGGUUCUCAGCUGCCCAAGAUGAUCUUCAGAGCAGACACUCCCCCUCCAUGAGAUGACAAUCUACCACAAUGACUACCACCAUGAUGACAAUCUUUUUUGCAUUUAUAUAUUCAUC